rnacentral:rRNA from 1 species
AACGCUAGCUACAGGCUUAACACAUGCAAGUCGAGGGGCAGCAUGAUCUUAGCUUGCUAAGGCCGAUGGCGACCGGCGCACGGGUGAGUAACACGUGUCCAACCUGCCGUCUACUCUUGGACAGCCUUCUGAAAGGAAGAUUAAUACAAGAUGGCAUCAUGAGUCCGCAUGUUCACAUGAUUAAAGGUAUUCCGGUAGACGAUGGGGAUGCGUUCCAUUAGAUAGUAGGCGGGGUAACGGCCCACCUAGUCUUCGACGGAUAGGGGUUCUGAGAGGAAGGUCCCCCACAUUGGAACUGAGACACGGUCCAAACUCCUACGGGAGGCAGCAGUGAGGAAUAUUGGUCAAUGGACGAGAGUCUGAACCAGCCAAGUAGCGUGAAGGAUGACUGCCCUAUGGGUUGUAAACUUCUUUUAUGUGGGAAUAAAGUAUUCCACGUGUGGGAUUUUGUAUGUACCAUAUGAAUAAGGAUCGGCUAACUCCGUGCCAGCAGCCGCGGUAAUACGGAGGAUCCGAGCGUUAUCCGGAUUUAUUGGGUUUAAAGGGAGCGUAGGUGGAUUGUUAAGUCAGUUGUGAAAGUUUGCGGCUCAACCGUAAAAUUGCAGUUGAAACUGGCAGUCUUGAGGACAGUAGAGGUGGGCGGAAUUCGUGGUGUAGCGGUGAAAUGCUUAGAUAUCACGAAGAACUCCGAUUG